rnacentral:rRNA from 1 species
GCUAAACGCGAAGAACCUUACCUGGCCUUGACAUACACCGGAAACGGCCAGAGAUGGUCGCCCCGCAAGGUCGGUGUACAGGUGGUGCAUGGUUGUCGUCAGCUCGUGUCGUGAGAUGUUGGGUUAAGUCCCGCAACGAGCGCAACCCUCGUUCUAUGUUGCCAGCACGUCAUGGUGGGAACUCAUGGGAUACUGCCGGGGUCAACUCGGAGGAAGGUGGGGAUGACGUCAAAUCAUCAUGCCCCUUAUGUCUUGGGCUUCACGCAUGCUACAAUGGCCGGUACAAAGGGCUGCAAUACCGUGAGGUGGAGCGAAUCCCAAAAAGCCGGUCCCAGUUCGGAUUGAGGUCUGCAACUCGACCUCAUGAAGUCGGAGUCGCUAGUAAUCGCAGAUCAGCAACGCUGCGGUGAAUACGUUCCCGGGUCUUGUACACACCG